UACGUAGGUGUCAAGCGUUGUUCGGAAUUAUUGGGCGUAAAGCGCGUGUAGGCGGCUUUGCAAGUCGGGUGUGAAAGCCCCUCAGCUCAACUGAGGAAGUGCGCCCGAAACUGCAGAGCUUGAGUGCCGGAGAGGGUGGCGGAAAUUCCCCAAGUAGAGGUGAAAUUCGUAGAUGUGGGGAGGAACACCGGUGGCGAAGGCGGC
rnacentral:rRNA from 1 species